CCUACGGGGGGCAGCAGUGAGGAAUAUUGGUCAAUGGCCGGACGGCUGAACCAGCCAUGCCGCGUGAAGGUCAGUGCCCUAUGGGCGUUAAACUUCUUUUGUGCGGGAGCAAUAAUGGUCACGUGUGGCCAGACGAGCGUACUGUACGAAUACGCAUCGGCUAACUCCGUGCCAGCAGCCGCGGUAAUACGGGGGAUGCAAGCGUUAUCCGGAUUUAUUGGGUUUAAAGGGUGCGUAGGCUGUGAGGUAAGUCAGCGGUGAAAUGCCCCCGCUCAACGGGGUGAAGUGCCAUUGAUACUACCUGGCUGGAAUGCGGAUGCCGUGGGAGGAAUGUGUGGUGUAGCGGUGAAAUGCAUAGAUAUCACACAGAACACCGAUUGCGAAGGCAUCUCACGAAUCCGCGAUUGACGCUGAUGCACGAAAGCGUGGGUAUCAAACAGGAUUAGAUACCCCUGUAGUC
rnacentral:rRNA from 1 species